rfam:Ciona savignyi cont_60285, whole genome shotgun sequence.
GUCGUCGUGGCCCGAGUGGUUAAGGCGACAGACUUGAAAUCUGUUGGGCUCAGCCCGCACAGGUUCGAAUCCUGUCAGCGACG